rnacentral:rRNA from 1 species
AACCCCUGUGAACAUACCUUAAUGUUGCCUCGGCGGAUCAGCCCGCGCCCCGUAAAACGGGACGGCCCGCCAGAGGACCCAAACUCUAAUGUUUCUUAUUGUAACUUCUGAGUAAAACAAACAAAUAAAUCAAAACUUUCAACAACGGAUCUCUUGGUUCUGGCAUCGAUGAAGAACGCAGCAAAAUGCGAUAAGUAAUGUGAAUUGCAGAAUUCAGUGAAUCAUCGAAUCUUUGAACGCACAUUGCGCCCGCUGGUAUUCCGGCGGGCAUGCCUGUUCGAGCGUCAUUUCAACCCUCAAGCCCCCGGGUUUGGUGUUGGGGAUCGGCUCUGCCUUACGGCGGCGCCGCCCCCGAAAUACAUUGGCGGUCUCGCUGCAGCCUCCAUUGCGUAGUAGCUAACACCUCGCAACUGGAACGCGGCGCGGCCAUGCCGUAAAACCCCAACUUCUGAAUGUUGACCUCGGAUCAGGUAGGAAUACCCGCUGAACUUAAGCAUAUCAAUAAGCGGAGGAA